rnacentral:rRNA from 1 species
AGUGAACGCUGGCGGUAGGCCUAACACAUGCAAGUCGAACGGCAGCACAGUAAGAGCUUGCUCUUACGGGUGGUGAGUGGCGGACGGGUGAGGAAUACAUCGGAAUCUACUUUUUCGUGGGGGAUAACGUAGGGAAACUUACGCUAAUACCGCAUACGACCUACGGGUGAAAGCAGGGGAUCUUCGGACCUUGCGCGAUUGAAUGAGCCGGUGUCGGAUUAGCUAGUUGGCGGGGUAAAGGCCCACCAAGGCGACGAUCCGUAGCUGGUCUGAGAGGAUGAUCAGCCACACUGGAACUGAGACACGGUCCAGACUCCUACGGGAGGCAGCAGUGGGGAAUAUUGGACAAUGGGCGCAAGCCUGAUCCAGCCAUACCGCGUGGGUGAAGAAGGCCUUCGGGUUGUAAAGCCCUUUUGUUGGGAAAGAAAAGCAGCAGGUUAAUACCCCGCUGUUCUGACGGUACCCAAAGAAUAAGCACCGGCUAACUUCGUG